GAUGAAGAACGUAGCGAAAUGCGAUACUUGGUGUGAAUUGCAGAAUCCCGUGAACCAUCGAGUCUUUGAACGCAAGUUGCGCCCGAAGCCACUAGGCCGAGGGCACGCCUGCCUGGGCGUCACACGUCGUAGCCCCCCCCCCCAUCUACUCCUUCGGGAUUGCGGGGGGCGGAUGAUGGCCUCCCGUGCGCCUAGCCGCGCGGUUGGCAUAAAUACCAAGUCCUCGGCGACGCACGCCACGACAAUCGGUGGUUGCGAAACCUCGGUUGCCCGUCGUGUGCGUUCGUCGCGCAUCGAGGGCUCGAAAAAAUGCUCGGCUCCGGCUCGGCUUUCAACGCGACCCCAGGUCAGGCGGGGUUACCCGCUGAAUUUAAGCAUAUCAAUAAGCGGAGGA
rnacentral:misc_RNA from 1 species